rnacentral:rRNA from 1 species
UACAGAGGGGGCAAGCGUUGUUCGGAAUUACUGGGCGUAAAGGGCGCGUAGGCGGCCUGCUAAGUCGAACGUGAAAUCCCUGGGCUCAACCCAGGAACUGCGUCCGAUACUGGUUGGCUUGAAUCCGGGAGAGGGAUGUGGAAUUCCAGGUGUAGCGGUGAAAUGCGUAGAUAUCUGGAGGAACACCGGUGGCGAAGGCGGCAUUCUGGACUGCAACUGACACUGAAGAACGAAAGCCAGGGGAGCAAACGGG